rnacentral:rRNA from 1 species
GCGGCGACGGGUGAGGAACACGUGAGAAAUCUGCCUUCAACUCUGGGAUAACUCCGGGAAACCGGGGCUAAUACCGGAUAUGAAACCUUCAGGCAUCUGAGGGUUUGGAAAGUUUUUCGGUUGAAGAUGAUCUCGCGGCCUAUCAGCUUGUUGGUGAGGUAAUGGCUCACCAAGGCGACGACGGGUAGCCGGCCUGAGAGGGCGACCGGCCACACUGGGACUGAGACACGGCCCAGACUCCUACGGGAGGCAGCAGUGGGGAAUAUUGGGCAAUGGAGGAAACUCUGACCCAGCGACGCCGCGUGCGGGAUGAAGGCCUUCGGGUUGUAAACCGCUUUCAGCAGGGAAGAAGCGAAAGUGACGGUACCUGCAGAAGAAGCACCGGCUAACUAUGUGCCAGCAGCCGCGGUAAUACAUAGGGUGCAAGCGUUGUCCGGAAUUAUUGGGCGUAAAGAGCUCGUAGGUGGUUCGUCACGUCGGAUGUGAAACUCUGGGGCUUAACUCCAGACCUGCAUUCGAUACGGGCGAGCUUGAGUAUGGUAGGGGAGUCUGGAAUUCCUGGUGUAGCGGUGGAAUGCGCAGAUAUCAGGAGGAACACCAAUGGCGAAGGCAGGACUCUGGGCCAUUACUGACACUGAGGAGCGAAAGCGUGGGGAGCGAACAGGAUUAGAUACCCUGGUAGUCCACGCCGUAAACGGUGGGCACUAGUUGUGGGGACCUUCCACGGUCUCUGCGACGCAGCUAACGCAUUAAGUGCCCCGCCUGGGGGAGUACGAUCGCAAGAUUAAAACUCAAAGGAAUUGACGGGGCCCCGCACAAGCAGCGGAGCAUGCGGCUUAAUUCGACGCAACGCGAAGAACCUUACCAAGGCUUGACAUA